rnacentral:rRNA from 1 species
GACGAACGCUGGCGGCGUGCUUAACACAUGCAAGUCGAACGGAAAGGCCCUGCUUUUGUGGGGUGCUCGAGUGGCGAACGGGUGAGUAACACGUGAGUAACCUGCCCUUGACUUUGGGAUAACUUCAGGAAACUGGGGCUAAUACCGGAUAGGAGCUCCUGCUGCAUGGUGGGGGUUGGAAAGUUUCGGCGGUUGGGGAUGGACUCGCGGCUUAUCAGCUUGUUGGUGGGGUAGUGGCUUACCAAGGCUUUGACGGGUAGCCGGCCUGAGAGGGUGACCGGCGACAUUGGGACUGAGGGACGGCGCAGAGUGCUACGGGAGGCAGCAGUGGGGAAUAUGGCACAGUGGGCGGAAGCCUGAUGCAGAGACGCCGCGUGCGGGAUGACGGCCUUCGGGUUGUAAACCGCUUUCGCCUGUGACGAAGCGUGAGUGACGGUAAUGGGUAAAGAAGCACCGGCUAACUACGUG